rnacentral:tRNA from 1 species
GGAGAGGUGGCAGAGUGGUCGAAUGCGCGGGUUUGCUACACCCGUGAGCUCGUAAGGGCUCCGCAGGUUCAAAUCCUGUCCUCUCCG